CACGUAGGGUGCGAGCGUUGUCCGGAAUUAUUGGGCGUAAAGAGCUCGUAGGCGGUGUGUCGCGUCGGCCGUGAAAACCUGCAGCUUAACUGUGGGCUUGCGGUCGAUACGGGCAUCACUGGAGUGCGGUAGGGGAGAAUGGAAUUCCUGGUGUAGCGGUGGAAUGCGCAGAUAUCAGGAGGAACACCGAUGGCGAAGGCAGUUCUCUGGGCCGUAACUGACGCUGAGGAGCGAAAGCGUGGGGAGCGAACAGG
rnacentral:rRNA from 1 species